CGCCUCUCCAUCGAGUCCACUACCUUCUCUUUAAUGAAACGUCACGUUUUCCAUUAGGUAUAUCGUGUUCGUCUCUUUCCCGUAUUCAGAGCAAUGGCGAUUAGAGUUUUGAAUACGAUCUUUCAUCUUCUUCUUUACUGUUUCGGUGUAUUCCUCUUUAAACCCACCAUUAAUCGAUCAUCCAGGAUCUACAUUCAAUGCGAGUUUUUGUUAUGCAAAGGCUGGGGCCCGACUAUAAAAAGUGACCAUGAUGCCGGCAACCGCAAAUGUCAACCGGCUUGCGACACACCGACCUAAAGCGGGUUCAGUCUAUUCUCUUGCCUCUGCUUUUCUUUAUGGAUAAGCCGUUUCAGGAGAAAUUGUCAUCCAAGAGAAGCAAGCAUGAUAAAGCUGGAAGCAAUAAAAACCUAAUAGAGAAGUGUGAUGGUAAAAGCCUCCAGAUAUCAAUUGUUUACAGAUUCAUCCUUUCAUCUUCUCCGCCAUAAUGAAAUGCUUGCUCAAGCAAGCACCAGCAGUCAACUCCCGGGAUUUCUAUGAGUGCCAACAUCCAGAUGAGAAACAUAUGAUGCAACUUAGCAGAUAGUUAUAUUUAGCUCCAAGAUAAGUUUUGGUUUCAGAAUUGAAGAACAGUAGAACACCAAAAAAGGCACAACCCGAGAGAACUGAUAAUUGUACACUCAAGUAAGAGAAUGAUAUGAUGGAUUCAUUGCGAAAACAUUGCUACUAGAUAAGUUAUCAAACACACCAUUUACCAUAUUGUUUUCACUAAUGCAGUGACACUUGUGGAGAUGCUCAUAGACUCUAUGAGUAACCAACUUGAACUUUAUAUUCUACACAUAUGGUUCGUUGUUUGCCUCAUAGUUCUUUUUCAUUAAUUUACAGGUCAAAGCUGCAUAGCUUUUUCCUUCAGUCGUUGCAGCAUCUAAAACUCCUGCAAUGGUUUAACUUAUAUUGCGUGGAAACCAAGAGAUGCCUUACAUUUGACAACAACAUGAUCUGAAGGCGGUGGAGUGAUUCCGGAAGAUCAGAGACCUGAUUGUUUCUGUUCUGUAUUUUGGAGCAACACUCUGUUUUUUGUCCCUAUGAUAUGUCUAAGAAAACUUUUCGUUAUAUAAUUUGUGUGCAUUGUGAAUAUAUAUGAAUAUUGAUGGAAAUGUGAAAUACAAAACAUUUUAAUAAGACGUGCUAAA